UACGUAGGGGGCAAGCGUUGUCCGGAUUUAUUGGGCGUAAAGGGCUCGUAGGCGGUUGGGUAAGUCGGGUGUGAAAACUCCAGGCUCAACUUGGAGAUGCCACCCGAUACUGCUCUGACUUGAGUUCGGUAGGGGAGUGGGGAAUUCCUGGUGUAGCGGUGAAAUGCGCAGAUAUCAGGAGGAACACCGAUGGCGAAGGCAGCCCCCUGGGUCAAGAUUGACGCUCAUGCACGAAAGCGUGGGGAGCAAACAGG
rnacentral:rRNA from 1 species